UCGCUCGUGUCGUGAGAUGUUGGGUUAAGUCCCGCAACGAGCGCAACCCUUGCCUUUAGUUGCCAGCAGUUCGGCUGGGCACUCUAAAGGGACUGCCGGUGUUAAACCGGAGGAAGGUGGGGAUGACGUCAAGUCCUCAUGGCCUUUAUGACCAGGGCUACACACGUACUACAAUGGCCGAUACAAAGGGCAGCGACACUGCGAGGUGAAGCCAAUCCCGUAAAAUCGGUCUCAGUCCGGAUUGGAGUCUGCAACUCGACUCCAUGAAGUUGGAAUCGCUAGUAAUCGUGGAUCAGCAUGCCACGGUGAAUACGUUCCCGGGCCUU
rnacentral:rRNA from 1 species